rnacentral:tRNA from 1 species
AAAAAUUUUAUAUUCCCAGCGCCCUAUAAAGGCUUUUAAGUUAGCUGGGCACUUAAAGAUUUUUA